AUGUAAGAUAGUGGGUGACGAAUCAGAAUGGACUGACUGCUCCCUGGGCAGUUCUAAGCAAAGCUUUAGCUGUAAUUGGUACACAUAAAAUGGAAGAAAGGCACAGGAAGUGGCAAAAAGGAAUAGUCUUUAAAAAUGCCAAGAACUUCCUGUGAAAAGAUUUUUUCGGUCUUUUGUUUUCAGUUUGACUUUGGAAGAGCUCUGACUGAGGAUCUCCAACUUCUUCUGCUUUCCUUAAAACUACCACAUGGGCUGUAUCACAGAAUCCUGAGAGUCUACAUCUCAACGACUCUCCUAGGAGAGAUACUGUAGGAAUCUGUGAAGAAUCAUGUGAAGAAACAAGUAUUCCCCAUUCCUGAUCUUGUGGUGUAGAGGAAGGUACAUUGACUGGUUUCUCCUGGGAUUAACAUUCUAGGAAUGUGAGUAGAGAAGAGAUUUUGAUUGCUAGAUUAUACUAUAUUUUGAAUCCUUAUAAGUUGAAAAUUGGUGGAAUAAUGUCUGGGCAUCCAUAGAGCUGUAAAUUUUUCAUGUUGUCUUUGUUUUUUCAGAACCAGCAAAGUGAAUUCUCCUUUCACCCAAGGAGUCGGAAAAUCAACUCACUCUAAUCAAGGUAGGAAGUCUGGAGUAGUGGAGAGAGAUAGCCUUGCAGUUAGGAAGGCUUAGGUUCAAGUCCUGCUUCUGACCUACGCUGGCUGUGUGCCCACCAGCAAGUUAUUCUCCUGACAUCUUUCCAAGAUCAUAAGGUGGGGAUGAGUUGCUGAUCUCUUUGGGUAAAGGGAGUUUCCUUUAUCUGUUGCUGCCAUCACAUACAAAAUUACAGGUCUGAACCAAAGCAGCUGAAGUGUAAGCUUCUAAAUACAGUUUGCCAAGUAUAUGUGUAAAUAGAUAUAAAAUGAUGCAUGUGACCAUAUUUGCAUAUAUUUUUCCUGAAUAUAUCUAUAUAGCUAUAGGUAUCUAUAUGGACAUACAGAUAGCUCUGCUCAUUAGUGGCAGAGUCAGAUUCAUUUCCUAAAUCCUUGAGUAUAUCCCUUUGAUUUAUUCUCAGAAGUACAUUAAUUUUUUUUUUUUGGUAAACUAGUUGCUGACAUAUAUGCUACCUCUUCCUCACAACUAGAACUCUCUUCUUCCUCAUCCCUGCCUCCUGGUUUCCUUCAGGUUUCAGAUAAAGUUUCCUCCUCUAUAAGAAGUCAGGCCCAGGCCUCUCUGAGAUUCUGUACGUAUUUUGGUAUUGUGUGGCUAUUUUCCUGUUUCCCGCCUAGUAAACUGUGAGCACCUGGAGGACAGACUCUUUUUUUACCUUUUUUUUUUUUAAUUUCCCAGCACUUAGCACAGGACUUGCGCAUGGUGGAUGCUUAAUAAAUGUUUGUUGACUUAAAUAGAAAGCA
rnacentral:lncRNA from 1 species